GUUCAAGUAGUCUGAAUAUUAUUUCAAUAAGAGAAGAGCAACCACCGAGUAUAAAGGGAAUAGCUGGUUUACAGUAGAUAACCUAAAACAGUAAUUGAAGGGAAACUCCCAGAAGUUUUCCCCCAUCUCAGGUUCAGGGCUGUGUAUUUUUAGGAGAAGAUAAUAACCUGGUAACAAACCUGAACACUGACCAAGUUCUGAAAAAUUAACUACGCUGAAUAUACUUAAUAAGGCAGGAAAACAGAUGAGGCAUAUCUGAGGCACAGAGAGGUUAAGUUGGGGACUGAAGUGUGGCUCCAGAAUCUAAGUUUCUAACUGCCAUGCUAUGACUGACCCCACUGGACUCAUGACUCAUGGACUCAGCUGGUCCUGUGGCCCUACCCAGAAGUGGACUCAGCACACGAGGACCAUUUCCCACACUCCUGUGAUUUCAUCCCCAAUUAUUCAGCAGUACCCUUUCCAUAGCCCCUUGCCCACCAAGUUGUCCAUAAAAACCCUAGCCUCUGAGCUUUUGGGGAGAUGGAGUUGAGUAAUAACUCCAUCUACUGCAUGGCUGGCCUUGUGUCAAUUAAACUUUUUUCUUUACUGCAAUAACAUGGUCUCAGUGAACUGAUUUUGUUCAUGCAGGAGGCAGGAAAAGCCCCUUGGGUGAUUACACAGUGGUUCUCAAAGUAUGGACCUCCAACCAGCAGCAUCAGCAGCAUCUGGAUACUUGCUAGAAAUGGAAAUUCUCUGGCCCUAUUCCAGGCCUUCCAAGUUGGAAACUUUGUGAUGGGGCCCAGCACUCUGUGUUUUAACAAGCCCUCUAGCCUUAAGGAAAACAACUCUGAGGACUUUUGUCACGGACUUGAAAUUCUCAUCUGUGCUUGGACAAGACUCUGAAACAUACCAACUGUGUAUUUUCCUGCCUUUGGUAAAUCUGGAGCUAUUAACUGAUUCUAAAGAACAUUUGACUUAAAAAGACUAUGGAAAGCCCAAAGAAUAAAGGGACACUUGUCACUGGAUUGAAGGCAUAUUCUAAUUUAGGACAAUGUCUUGAGAUCUUUAACUUAACUACAUUUGCAAAGACCCAAUUUCCAAGUAACUGGAACAUUC
rnacentral:lncRNA from 10 species